rnacentral:rRNA from 1 species
CCUACGGGCGGCUGCAGUGGGGAAUAUUGCACAAUGGGGGAAACCCUGAUGCAGCGACGCCGCGUGAGUGAAGAAGUAUCUCGGUACGUAAAGCUCUAUCAGCAGGGAAGAAAAUGACGGUACCUGACUAAGUAGCCCCGGCUAACUACGUGCCAGCAGCCGCGGUAAUACGUAGGGGGCAAGCGUUAUCCGGAUUUACUGGGUGUAAAGGGAGCGUAGACGGCAGCGCAAGUCUGGAGUGAAAUCCCAUGGCUUAACCAUGGAAUUGCUUUGGAAACUGUGCAGCUAGAGUGCAGGAGAGGUAAGCGGAAUUCCUAGUGUAGCGGUGAAAUGCGUAGAUAUUAGGAGGAACACCAGUGGCGAAGGCGGCUUACUGGACUGUAACUGACGUUGAGGCUCGAAAGCGUGGGGAGCAAACAGGAUUAGAUACCCGUGUAGUC